AGUGAACGCUGGCGGUAGGCCUAACACAUGCAAGUCGAACGGCAGCACAGUAAGAGCUUGCUCUUACGGGUGGCGAGUGGCGGACGGGUGAGGAAUACAUCGGAAUCUACUUUUUCGUGGGGGAUAACGUAGGGAAACUUACGCUAAUACCGCAUACGACCUACGGGUGAAAGCAGGGGAUCUUCGGACCUUGCGCGAUUGAAUGAGCCGAUGUCGGACUAGCUAGUUGGCGGGGUAAAGGCCCACCAAGGCGACGAUCCGUAGCUGGUCUGAGAGGAUGAUCAGCCACACUGGAACUGAGACACGGUCCAGACUCCUACGGGAGGCAGCAGUGGGGAAUAUUGGACAAUGGGCGCAAGCCUGAUCCAGCCAUACCGCGUGGGUGAAGAAGGCCUUCGGGUUGUAAAGCCCUUUUGCUGGGAAAGAAAAGCAGCAGGUUAAUACCCCGCUGUUCUGACGGUACCCAAAGAAUAAGCACCGGCUAACUUCGUG
rnacentral:rRNA from 1 species